rnacentral:hammerhead_ribozyme from 13 species
CUGGAGUGAUAUUUGCUGAUAUUUACUGAUGAGCUCCAAUAAGAGCGAAACUCGAG